rnacentral:rRNA from 1 species
CACGCCGUAAACGAUGAAUACUAGGUGUAGGGGGUAUCGACCCCCCCUGUGCCGCAGCUAACGCAAUAAGUAUUCCACCUGGGGAGUACGGCCGCAAGGUUGAAACUCAAAGGAAUUGACGGGGGCCCGCACAAGCAGUGGAGUAUGUGGUUUAAUUCGACGCAACGCGAAGAACCUUACCAGGGCUUGACAUCCUCUGACGACGUAAGAGAUUACGUUUUCCCUUCGGGGACAGAGAGACAGGUGG